rnacentral:rRNA from 1 species
AAGAACCAACAGGGAUUGCCCUAGUAACGGCGAGUGAAGCGGCAACAGCUCAAAUUUGAAAUCUGGCGUCUUUGGCGUCCGAGUUGUAAUUUGCAGAGGGCGCUUUGGCAUUGGCAGCGGUCCAAGUUCCUUGGAACAGGACGUCACAGAGGGUGAGAAUCCCGUACGUGGUCGCUAGCCUUUACCGUGUAAAGCCCCUUCGACGAGUCGAGUUGUUUGGGAAUGCAGCUCUAAAUGGGAGGUAAAUUUCUUCUAAAGCUAAAUACUGGCCAGAGACCGAUAGCGCACAAGUAGAGUGAUCGAAAGAUGAAAAGCACUUUGGAAAGAGAGUUAAAAAGCACGUGAAAUUGUUGAAAGGGAAGCGCUUGCAGCCAGACUUGCCUGUAGUUGCUCAUCCGGGUUUUUACCCGGUGCACUCUUCUACGGGCAGGCCAGCAUCAGUUUGGGCGGUUGGAUAAAGGUCUCUGUCAUGUACCUCCUCUCGGGGAGAUCUUAUAGGGGAGACGACAUGCAACCAGCCUGGACUGAGGUCCGCGCAUCUGCUAGGAUGCUGGCGUAAUGGCUGUAAGCGGCCCGUCUUGAAACACGGACCAAGGAGUCUAACAUCUAUGCGAGUGUUUGGGUGUCAAGCCCGAACGCGUAAUGAAAGUGAACGGAGGUGGGAACCUUUCGGGGUGCACCAUCGACCGAUCCUGAUGUCUUCGGAUGGAUUUGAGUAAGAGCAUAGCUGUUGGGACCCGAAAGAUGGUGAACUAUGCUUGAAUAGGGUGAAGCCAGAGGAAACUCUGGUGGAGGCUCGCAGCGGUUCUGACGUGCAAAUCGAUCGUCAAAUUUGGGCAUAGGGGCGAAAGACUAAUCGAAC